rnacentral:rRNA from 1 species
CAGCUAGUUGGUGGGGUAACGGCCUACCAAGGCAACGAUCAGUAUCCGGCCUGAGAGGGCGGACGGACACACUGGGACUGAGACACGGCCCAGACUCCUACGGGAGGCAGCAGUGGGGAAUUGUUCGCAAUGGGCGCAAGCCUGACGACGCAACGCCGCGUGGAGGACGAAGAUCUUCGGGUCGUAAACUCCUGUCGAGUGAGAAGAAUGGUUCGGGGACGAAUACUCCCCGGAAUUGACGGUACCACUAAAGGAAGCCCCGGCUAACUCCGUGCCAGCAGCCGCGGUAAUACGGGGGGGGCAAGCGUUGUUCGGAAUUACUGGGCGUAAAGGGCUCGUAGGCGGCCAACUAAGUCAGACGUGAAAUCCCCAGGCUCAACCUGGGAACUGCGUCUGAUACUGGAUGGCUUGAAUUCGGGAGAGGGAUGCAGAAUUCCAGGUGUAGCGGUGAAAUGCGUAGAUAUCUGGAGGAAUACCGGUGGCGAAGGCGGCAUCCUGGACCGACAUUGACGCUGAUGAG